rnacentral:rRNA from 1 species
AAAUUGAAGAGUUUGAUCAUGGCUCAGAUUGAACGCUGGCGGCAGGCCUAACACAUGCAAGUCGAACGGUAACAGGAAGAAGCUUGCUUCUUUGCUGACGAGUGGCGGACGGGUGAGUAAUGUCUGGGAAACUGCCUGAUGGAGGGGGAUAACUACUGGAAACGGUAGCUAAUACCGCAUAACGUCGCAAGACCAAAGAGGGGGACCUUCGGGCCUCUUGCCAUCGGAUGUGCCCAGAUGGGAUUAGCUUGUUGGUGGGGUAACGGCUCACCAAGGCGACGAUCCCUAGCUGGUCUGAGAGGAUGACCAGCCACACUGGAACUGAGACACGGUCCAGACUCCUACGGGAGGCAGCAGUGGGGAAUAUUGCACAAUGGGCGCAAGCCUGAUGCAGCCAUGCCGCGUGUAUGAAGAAGGCCUUCGGGUUGUAAAGUACUUUCAGCGGGGAGGAAGGGAGUAAAGUUAAUACCUUUGCUCAUUGACGUUACCCGCAGAAGAAGCACCGGCUAACUCCGUGCCAGCAGCCGCGGUAAUACGGAGGGUGCAAGCGUUAAUCGGAAUUACUGGGCGUAAAGCGCACGCAGGCGGUUUGUUAAGUCAGAUGUGAAAUCCCCGGGCUCAACCUGGGAACUGCAUCUGAUACUGGCAAGCUUGAGUCUCGUAGAGGGGGGUAGAAUUCCAGGUGUAGCGGUGAAAUGCGUAGAGAUCUGGAGGAAUACCGGUGGCGAAGGCGGCCCCCUGGACGAAGACUGACGCUCAGGUGCGAAAGCGUGGGGAGCAAACAGGAUUAGAUACCCUGGUAGUCCAUGCCGUAAACGAUGUCGACUUGGAGGUUGUGCCCUUGAGGCGUGGCUUCCGGAGCUAACGCGUUAAGUCGACCGCCUGGGGAGUACGGCCGCAAGGUUAAAACUCAAAUGAAUUGACGGGGGCCCGCACAAGCGGUGGAGCAUGUGGUUUAAUUCGAUGCAACGCGAAGAACCUUACCUGGUCUUGACAUCCACGGAAGUUUUCAGAGAUGAGAAUGUGCCUUCGGGAACCGUGAGACAGGUGCUGCAUGGCUGUCGUCAGCUCGUGUUGUGAAAUGUUGGGUUAAGUCCCGCAACGAGCGCAACCCUUAUCCUUUGUUGCCAGCGGUCCGGCCGGGAACUCAAAGGAGACUGCCAGUGAUAAACUGGAGGAAGGUGGGGAUGACGUCAAGUCAUCAUGGCCCUUACGACCAGGGCUACACACGUGCUACAAUGGCGCAUACAAAGAGAAGCGACCUCGCGAGAGCAAGCGGACCUCAUAAAGUGCGUCGUAGUCCGGAUUGGAGUCUGCAACUCGACUCCAUGAAGUCGGAAUCGCUAGUAAUCGUGGAUCAGAAUGCCACGGUGAAUACGUUCCCGGGCCUUGUACACACCGCCCGUCACACCAUGGGAGUGGGUUGCAAAAGAAGUAGGUAGCUUAACCUUCGGGAGGGCGCUUACCACUUUGUGAUUCAUGACUGGGGUGAAGUCGUAACAAGGUAACCGUAGGGGAACCUGCGGUUGGAUCAC